GACGAACGCUGGCGGCGUGCUUAACACAUGCAAGUCGAACGGAAAGGCCCUGCUUUUGUGGGGUGCUCGAGUGGCGAACGGGUGAGUAACACGUGAGUAACCUGCCCUUGACUUUGGGAUAACUUCAGGAAACUGGGGCUAAUACCGGAUAGGAGCUCCCGCUGCAUGGUGGGGGUUGGAAAGUUUCGGCGGUUGGGGAUGGACGCGCGGCUUAUCAGCUUGUUGGUGGGGUAGUGGCUUACCAAGGCUUUGACGGGUAGCCGGCCUGAGAGGGUGACCGGCCACAUUGGGACUGAGAGACGGCCCAGAGUCCUACGGGAGGCAGCAGUGGGGAAUAUUGCACAAUGGGCGGAAGCCUGAUGCGGCAACGCCGCGUGCGUGAUGACGGCCUUCGGGUUGUAAACCGCUUUCGCCUGUGACGAAGCGGGAGUGACGGUAAUGGGUAAAGAAGCACCGGCUAACUACGUG
rnacentral:rRNA from 1 species